GUUCAGGUUUAGAGCAAAUCUUAAUUAAUAACAGUCAUGACGAAACUUGAGAGAGAUAUCAAUUUUGAGAACUAGUCAUGGCAGAGCAACUAUUUAUGAUUUCCAUGUGAGAGCUUAUCAUGAGGGUUCAUAGCAGACUUUAUUUAUUUAUUUAUUUAGCAAACUAAGCAAAGAUAUAUAUAAGCACAAAAUCUUUAUUUGGGUUUCUAUGAUUAUGCAUCUUUUCAUUAUUAGAGUAAAGUAUAAACAUAAGUAGAAUACUUAGUUGGAUAAAUGGGGGUGCUCUCCCCCAAGCUGGAUUUUGACGUAGUUUCUUCUAAUGUAGGUAGCAAGUGGUGGAGGUGUAUUUGAAUGUCAGCAGUGUAACGUCCCGCCUCCACAAGGCCGGGCCCGCUUAUAUCUGGCAGCUUUUCUAGGAUAUAGUCAGUCCCCACAGAACAACACUUCGUCUUUUCUGCACACUUUGUCCUCACUCGCGCGCACCCGGGAAGUACUUCCCGGUCGGUCACCCAUCCCUAAAUUGCUCUAGGCCAAGCACGCUUAACUUUAGAGUUCUUUCGAGAUGGGCUUCCGGAAAAGAAGUUGUAACUUAUUGGUAUGAGUCUCAUAUUAAUCCUAUUAAGCCCUGGGCCGGGUGUUACAUCCUCACCCCCUUAAGAGAUCGACGUCCUCGUCGAUCAACACCAAGCUAGGAACAUCCCCUCUUGGCCACGUCCGUGCAUCCAGUGCCAGCGCAUAUGCCAUGCUGUGUGACCACUUCGGAUCCACACCAGCCAUGCACACCAUGCCUGCGCAACUGCGACACACGCGCCCGUGAAACCGCGAGGGUCGGCUCUGAUACCAUUCUGUAACGUCCCGCCUCCACAAGGCCAGGCCCGCUUACAUUUGGCAGCUUUUCUAGGAUAUAGUCAGUCCCCACAGACCAACACUUCGUCUUUUCUGCGCACUUUGUCCUCACUCGCGCGCACCCGGGAAGUACUUCCCGGUCGGUCACCCAUCCCUAAAUUGCUC
rnacentral:lncRNA from 1 species